rnacentral:rRNA from 1 species
AUUGAACGCUGGCGGCAUGCCUUACACAUGCAAGUCGAACGGUAACGGGCCUUCGGGUGCCGACGAGUGGCGAACGGGUGAGUAAUACAUCGGAACGUGCCCGAUCGUGGGGGAUAACGAGGCGAAAGCUUUGCUAAUACCGCAUACGAUCUACGGAUGAAAGCCGGGGACCGCAAGGCCUUGCGCGGACGGAGCGGCCGAUGGCAGAUUAGGGAGUUGGUGGGAUAAAAGCUUACCAAGCCGAGGAUAUGCAGCUGGUCUGAGAGGAUGAACAGCCACACUGGGACUGAGACACGGCCCAGACUCCUACGGGAGGCAGCAGUGGGGAAUUUUGGACAAUGGGCGCAAGCCUGAUCCAGCCAUGCCGCGUGCAGGAUGAAGGCCUUCGGGUUGUAAACUGCUUUUGUACGGAACGAAAAGCCUUCUUUUAAUACAGGAGGGUCAUGACGGUACCGAAAGAAUAAGCACCGGCUAACUACGUG